UGGCAUGGCGCAGGCGCAAUAGACACAUCCGCUCGCUUCAAAAGGUAUAAAUAAGGCUGACUUGGCACGCUCGCUCUUUUCGGGGAAGACCUUUGUUCGGCGUUGGUGGUUUUCGCCAUCAGUCAAGAUUCCAAAUAACUUGAUUUGGGCCAUCAGUCAAGAUUCCCAAUAACUUGUUUUGGGCCUUCAGUCAAGAUUCCAAGUAAUUUGAUUUGGGAUUCUACACGGUCUGUCCGGAAAAGGUCCAGCCAUUGUUAAUAUAACAAGAACUGAUUUCCUGGCAGCCAGGGAGAAUGGACUGGAAUGCACAUGCAUGAACAAUGAAGACCUCACUGUACUAGUGAGUGGGCAGUAUACGCCAUUGAGUGAGUGUCUGGCCAUCACAUUCAAAAUGACUGAGCGAGUAGAGCAACGAGUCUGCAUCAAAUUUUGCGUUAAGCUUGAACAUUCCUCUGCGGAAACUAUUAGGAUGAUUCAGAAGGCUUUCGGGGACGAUGCAAUGAGUGCAGCACAAAUAAAAGUGUGGCACAAACGCUUCAAAGAUGGUCGAGAGUCUGUUGAAAGCGAUCCGCGUUCUGGAAGGCCUGCAACAAGCAGAACACCUGAGAAUGUGGAACGUGUGCGGGCUGCAAUCAACAAAGAUCUGCGGCUGACAGUGCGAGAACUAGGAGCUGAUCUCGGGAUUCCUAAAACUACGGUGUCCGAGAUUUUGACGCAUGAUCUUCGCAUGAAACGUGUUGUGGCGUAAUUCAUUCCAUGGCUUCUGCUACCAGAGCAGAAAGAACAUCAUGCUGCCAUUGAUAAUGACUUGAUUCAAACCACUGCUAGUGAACCAGAUUUCCUCAAGAAAGUCGUAACUGGAUAUGAAUAGUGGGGUCCAGGGCUAUGAUCCAGAAGUGAGGCCCGGUUGUCCGAAAGGAAGGUGUCAUCUAUCACAGGUUCACUCCUCCAGGCCAAAUGAUGAGUACUACCUCUGUUCGUCUGUUGAGAGAAGCAGUACGAUGAAAACAGCUGCAGCUGUGGGCAACUGGCAGCUUCUUCAUGACAGUGUGCCUGCUUGUGCAUCACGUCUCAUGUAGAGUUUUUUGGUGAAACAUCAAAUCAGCCAAGUGGCUCAGCCCCCACUACAGCCUAGAUUUGGUGGCACCCUGUGACUUCUGGCUUUUCCCAAAGCCUGAAACCACCUUUGAGAGGAAAGAAAUUUCAGACCAUUGAUGAGAUUCUGGAAAAUAUGAUGGGGCAGUUAAUGUCAGUUCCGGAAAGGAUUUUGCAGAGUGUUUUAACUGGAAGAGACACUGGGAGAACUGUUUGAGGUCCCAAGGUGCCGAAUUUGAAGGGGACUGAGGCGUCAUUGUCCUGUGUGCAGUGUUUCUUGUAUCUUGUGUCUUCGAUAACUGUCUCCAUGUUUCAUAGUAAAUGGCUGGAUACUUUCUGGACAGACCUCAUAAAUAUGAGCCUAAUCUUUUUUUCUGUUUUCAUUCAGGAGAGAAGAGGAGCCUCACCUUAAUUUUUGGCAGCUGGCAGUGCUUUUUGGGUCCUUUAUUUGACAGUGCAAGUUUGUAAAGUGAUGCUAUUUUUUGACAGUUAGUAACUGCCCUUUGGGGAGUAAAGGGGAAAUAGGAGGACAGAAAUGCAAAUUCUUAGGCAUAGCUCCAGAUCUUUAUUAAGAACUGAUAGACUAAUAGAAUGUUCUAAUGGCCAGGUGGCCCAUUUAACUUUAUAAGGAAAUUGCAGAAUGCACUUUAGUAUAAGAAGGUCAUUAAAACAGUAUGGUCCAUGGACCUAGGCGCCCCAGAGAAUUUUUUUCAGAAUGCCUGAGGUGAAAAAUUUAAACUUAAGAUGAUACUUGGCCUUUUUAAUCCUCAAAGUUGGUUCUCUAACUGCACUGCUGAACAGAAAGCAGAAGCCCAUGAGAACCUAGAUACUUUUUUUUUUAAGUUCCAUUUUUAAUUUACUUAUGAGUUACAAUAAA